rnacentral:lncRNA from 1 species
UUCCCACAGGGAGCAGCGGCUCUGCCGCACCGCCAACACCCGAUAACGGCAGGGCUCCCUAUCAGCUCAAUACCAUCGCCUCAGCAGCCCUGCUCCGAGCCAGGAGCUGCAGGGCUUCCCUGGGCCAGCUCUGCUCCCCAGAACCCCAACACAGCCCUGCAGGAGCCCCAUCGCCACCACCACCUUCCCAUGCAGGCUGAGCACUGCGAGCUCAAAGCAGGACCUGGGGCCCUCAAUUCUCCUGAAUAAAGGAAUAUUUCCCCUGCCAUGAGCACUGGGCUGUGCUCAGAGCUCAAAGCAGGACCUGGAGCCCUCAAUUCUCCUGAAUAAAGGAAUAUUUCCCCUGCCAUGAGCACUGGGCUGUGCUCAGAGCUCAAAGCAGGACCUGGCACCCUCAAUUCUCCCAAAUCAAGGAAUAUUUGCCAUUUCCAGAGCAAUGGGCUGUGCUCAGAGCUGGGAGCAGGACCUGGGGCCCUCAGUUCUCCCAAACCAAGGAAUAUUUGCCAUUUCCAGAGCAAUGGGCUCAAAGCUCAAAGCAGGACCUGGAGCCCUCAGUUCUCCCAAACCAAGGAACAUUUUCCAUUCCCAGAGGUGCCUCUGUGCCCCUGCCAUGAGCAAUGGGCUCAGAGCUGGACCUGGAGCCCUCAAUUCUCCCAAACCAAGGAACAUUUCCAUUCCCAGAGGUGCCCCUGUGCCCCAGCAGCACCCGGCAGGCCCGCGGCAUCUGCCGAGGUGGCCGGGGGACACCGUAAUGAAUUCUCUGACCUUUGCUGCAGCUGCCAGGGGCCCGAGGGGACCCUGCUCUGCCCGGGACCUGCGGCUCCCCAAUCCCUGACCAAGCACGGGAAGGAAGCAGCAGCUUCUGGAAUGUUCCACGGCCAACACGGGAUAGUGCCAGUGCCCCUGGUAACUGGGAUUAACUGGGACACAGCUCUGUAGGUACAGUCCCUGCACGCUCUCACACUGAACUCUGUGCAAAGUGCACAUUAAAUGGCUCCACCGUAUGUAUUAUGAUGGAUUGAUUAGUAGUGCUGUAUGAACAUUUAAAUCAUAUGAUAAACGUAAUUAAAAGGCAACUUUAGUGGGAUUAUUUUAAGAAAGGAAUGAGGCACUCGCAGCAGAUAGCAGCCCCUGAACCUUUCA